rnacentral:lncRNA from 1 species
UUGUAUUUUGCCCAAAUAGAAAGUUCCCAAAGUGAAAAUCUGAGCGAUGAUGACGGAGUCGGUGUAUGUUAUGUUAAGUGUUAACUAGUUACAUGUAUUUUCAAGACCUAUCUCUGCCUCGGGUCUUUUCUUCUUCUUCAUGAUUCAAAUAACGUGUUUGCGAGUUAAGCAAUUAACCAGUAAGAUAUUGUCACAUACUAGUAUGGAAGUAAAGAAAAAAAGAACAAAAGAACAAAAGAAAAAAGAAAAAAAAAGGAGUUCCAUAAGGUAAUAGCUAAUAGAGAAUAAUAUAUCAUAAAACGCUUUCAAACAAGAGGAAAACUCAAUUAAACUGUCUUGCAUAUUGAACGACAGAUCGUAUACCUCUCUUUUCUCAAAGGAUAAUAAAUGCAACCAACCAAAAUCAAAACACUUACAAAUGUAACAUACAUGUAAUUAAAACAUAAUGUCUCUAUAACUACUUAAAAUCAGGAAACAUACAACAUUAAGAUAAAAAGGGAAGUAUAAAUUAAAUUCCGUAGAUCUUAAUAAUAAUUUGUGUCAAAAUGUAUUGUAUAAAGGCAACAGUAGUAUACCACUGUUCAAUGGUCAUAAAUCGAUUUAACUGAAACAAAUCCGGAUAACAAACCAAAUACUGAUGGAAUACAUCAAUUAUAAGAGAAACAACGGAACAACAGAAACACUGAACUUCUACAAAAACAAAUGCCAACAUACAUACAAACGAGUUAUUAAAUAGUAUGGAUCACCGUUUUUUUUUAUCAAGAUAUAGGUUGUGCAAAAUUACUUUGAUUUUGUAUAGAAUAUACCUG